ACAUAACAUCAAGUCAUAUUUGACUACAAAAACCAAAACCAAGCUUAUUUUUGAUUCUCAAAGCUUGGAUGGUGAAGCCGAAGUUCUUAUGAGUUUUUGGUUUUGAAUCGUAUAACAAGGAAGCACUACUUUACUUUUCGGUAUCUCGUAGAGGUUCUAGUUUUAUAUUCAAUCAUACACAUCACAUCUAGUCAAAUUUCACUCUGAAACGCUAAAAAAGAUUCUUCUUGCUUCUUAAAGUAUCAUAGUAUAUUUGAUCCUAAACACACUAAACCUAAACUGUACACCCUAAAUCCCAAAGCCUAACAUCCAAUUCCUAAACCGUAACUCUGGAACCCUAAAUCUUAAACCCGAAACAGUAAACCCUAAACCCUAAACUCCUAACCCUAAACCCUG
rnacentral:sRNA from 1 species